rnacentral:lncRNA from 1 species
UUUUUUUAGUCCCUCCCUUGUGUACCUAGUUUCCCUUCACAAGAGAGCUCAACUGAUAUAUCUGACAAGUGUGAGAAUGUUCUCAGUCGACUAUCAGAAAAGCAUGGAUGCAAAGUAUGCCUAUUUCUAUUAUUACAUUCUCCAUUGUUGUAUCUUGGACUUUGGCUGGUGUAUCUUCUAGCUUUGGUUUAGAAUUGUUGGAACAAUCAGCGUCAAUAUUGUGAGUAUUUAUCAUUCUACAAGAUUGUUAGUACAUCCAAUAUUUCUCUUUGUUAUCUGUUUUCUUCUUCUUUUUCUGUUACCAAGAUUGACAUAUGAUACUCGUACAAAUCUGGCAUUUUUUCGUUCAUUUACUGCAGCAGACUAUGUUGCUGCUCAGCGGCUUAGGUGAGACAUGGUGUUUCUUAAGCUACCUACACUAAAUCAAUCUAACCUAGUCAUGAAUUUCUUUUAGACUCCAUCUGAGAACUGAUCUGAUGUUAUUGUUGUCAUCUAUACUGAUUAUAUGCUCAAGGUGGUUUCUUAAUUCUUUUCAACUUCUUCCUCUUGAAAUUUUUCAUUCACUGCUGCUAGUUGAUUAUAUGUGUAGAAGUGUUGAGUAAUGUCUGAUGUAUGACUCAAUUUCGAAAGGUAAUCAACAGAGAAGCUGGCCUCUCUAUAUGAAUGUUUACACUGGAAAAAUUCAAGGCUGGUUGUGAUCUGUUGCAGCUGUUUGAUGAAGUGAUUAAGUUACCAUGGAGGGAUAGCAGUGAUCCACUUCAUUAAAAGUUCAGAGUCCACCUCCAAAAUGAUCUUCCUGUAUCCAUGUUGCAUUCACCCAUUAACUCUAUGUAUGGCUGCUUGUAUCUAAGCCUGGUAGUUGGUACCAAUGCCAAGGGGAACAACAAAUACAUACACCAACUUUCCUUGGUGAUCUCUUAAAAUUCCUCCUCCACCUAUCUUGUCUAGACUAUUGAGAGCACUCCUAUCUGUAUUUAGCUUGUACACACCAUUGCAAGGUCUUUCCCAAAGAACUGGUAUAACCUUAAUUUCAUGACUACAAUUUUCCACCAUAAAGAUAGAUCAUUCCAAUUGUGGAUAUAGGGGAAAACAAUCUUGAAAAUUUGAAGGAUAUUUUUUCAGAUUAGGAACUUCACUAUCCUCAUAUUGGAUUGUUUGGCACCAUAUUUUACUGCACAUCUAUUUUUCCACAGGUUCCAACAUAUAACGAUGGGAAGGGCCUGAUUCAUGAGCUUGUGAGCCUCAUUUUUAUGUUGCAUGUUACCCCACUGCAUAAGAAAAUUUCUUAGUAUUGAGCAUAUUAAAUACAUGAUUUAUUUUACUAACUUAUGUUUUUAUUUUGAAUGUGCAGGAAAAUGACGGUAAUUGAAUUUGAAUAGUGGCUAGAAGUAAACUCGAUCUAUUGUAGUGAACAAUGAAGAGUUUUUGUACUAUUGUCAUAUUUGUUUGAAUGCAUUUGGUUUUGUGGAAUUUAUUGAUAGUAGAGAUCUUUAAGCAAUCGCUUUCUAAGUAUUGGUUGUACAAGACAUGUUUCU